rnacentral:rRNA from 1 species
GAUGAACGCUGGCGGCGUGCCUAAUACAUGCAAGUCGAGCGAAUGGAUUAAGAGCUUGCUCUUAUGAAGUUAGCGGCGGACGGGUGAGUAACACGUGGGUAACCUGCCCAUAAGACUGGGAUAACUCCGGGAAACCGGGGCUAAUACCGGAUAACAUUUUGAACCGCAUGGUUCGAAAUUGAAAGGCGGCUUCGGCUGUCACUUAUGGAUGGACCCGCGUCGCAUUAGCUAGUUGGUGAGGUAACGGCUCACCAAGGCAACGAUGCGUAGCCGACCUGAGAGGGUGAUCGGACACACGGGGACUGAGACACGGCCCAGACUCCUACGGGAGGCAGCAGUAGGGAAUCUUCCGAAAUGGACGAAAGUCUGACGGAGCAACGCCGAGUGAGUGAUGAGGGCUUUCGGGUCGUAAAACUCUGUUGUUAGGGAAGAACAAGUGCUAGUUGAAUAAGCUGGCACCUUGACGGUACCUAACCAGAAAGCCACGGCUAACUACGUGCCAGCAGCCGCCGUAA